AUGGCGCGGCUGAGGAAGUUGCCUGUGUCGGCCAACAGCUUCUUCACGUUGAAGUCCAUGAUGUUCAUGCUGGGCGGCACCGGGCGCUGUGGCCGGGGUCAGCUACAAAAGGUUUCUGUCUUGCAUUUGGGGCCACAAGACUACUGCCAAAUACUGCUCCAGGGAAAUCUCCAACUUCUUCUCUAAACUGUAAGUACUUCUCAAAGAGACUGGUCUACU
rnacentral:lncRNA from 1 species